UAGGUAGGUGGCAAGCGUUGUCCGGAUUUAUUGGGUUUAAAGGGGGCGUAGGCGGUUUUAUAAGUCAGUGGUGAAAUACGGCAGCUUAACUGUCGAGGUGCCAUUGAUACUGUAAGACUCGAGUACUGAUGAGGUAGGCGGAAUUGACGGUGUAGCGGUGAAAUGCUUAGAUAUCGUCAAGAACACCGAUAGCGAAGGCAGCUUACUAAGGAGUAACUGACGCUGAUGCACGAAAUUGUGGGGAUCAAACAGG
rnacentral:rRNA from 1 species